UACGGAGGGUGCAAGCGUUAAUCGGAAUUACUGGGCGUAAAGCGCGCGUAGGCGGUUAAACAAGUCAGAUGUGAAAGCCCCGGGCUCAACCUGGGAACUGCAUUUGAAACUGUUUAGCUAGAGUGUGGUAGAGGAGAGUGGAAUUUCAGGUGUAGCGGUGAAAUGCGUAGAUAUCUGAAGGAACACCAGUGGCGAAGGCGGCUCUCUGGACCAACACUGACGCUGAGGUGCGAAAGCGUGGGUAGCAAACGGG
rnacentral:rRNA from 1 species